AACGAACGCUGGCGGCAUGCCUAACACAUGCAAGUCGAACGAAAAGACCGGGCCUUUUGGCGCACGGCGGCGUAAGGCGGGGGGACCUGCACUUGGGUACGGAAUACCUCCCCGAAUGGGAUGCUAAUGCCAGAUAGUGUCUUCUGACCAACGAUGUAUUGCCUUGGGUUGGGCGCUCGUUGGAUUCGGUGGUUGGUAGGGUAAUAGCCUACCAAGGGGAGGAUGCAUAGCUGGGAUGUGAGGAUGAUCAGCAACACUUGGACUGAGACACGGCCCAGACUCCUACGGGAGGGAGCAGUGGGUAAUAGUGGACGAUGGGCGAAAGCCUGACCCAGCACUGCCGGGUGAGUGAUGAUGGCCGUAGGGAAGUAAAGCUCCUUUAACCGGGAUGAUAAUGACGGUACCGGGUGAAUAAGCUCCGGCUAACUACGUG
rnacentral:rRNA from 1 species